rnacentral:rRNA from 1 species
AAUCAACGCUGGCGGCGUGCCUCAGACAUGCAAGUCGAACGAUUAAAGCUCUCUUCGGAGAGUGUAUAGAGUGGCGCACGGGUGAGUAACACGUAAGUAAUCUACCUUUGAGUGGGGAAUAACAGUCGGAAACGACUGCUAAUACCGCAUAAUGCAGCGGCAUCGCAAGAUGACAGUUGUUAAAGGAGCAAUCCGCUUAAAGAGGAGCUUGCGGCAGAUUAGCUAGUUGGUAAGGUAAUGGCUUACCAAGGCUACGAUCUGUAUCCGGUCUAAGAGGACGGUCGGACACACUGACACUGAAUAACGGGUCAGACUCCUACGGGAGGCAGCAGUCGGGAAUUUUGGGC